rnacentral:rRNA from 1 species
UACGUAGGGGGCAAGCGUUGUCCGGAUUCAUUGGGCGUAAAGAGCGUGUAGGCGGCCAGGUAGGUCGGUUGUGAAAACUGGAGGCUCAACCUUCAGAGGUCGACCGAAACCAUCUGGCUAGAGUCCGGGAGAGGAUAGUGGAAUUCCCAGUGUAGUGGUGAAAUACGUAGAGAUUGGGAAGAACACCAGUGGCGAAGGCGGCUAUCUGGACGGUUUCUGACACUAAGACUCGAAAGCGUGGGGAGCAAACAGG